rnacentral:rRNA from 1 species
UGACCGCUGGCGGCGUGCCUAAUACAUGCAAGUCGAGCGCACAGACGAGGAGCUUGCUCCUCUGACGUUAGCGGCGGACGGGUGAGUAACACGUGGAUAACCUACCUAUAAGACUGGGAUAACUUCGGGAAACCGGAGCUAAUACCGGAUAAUAUAUUGAACCGCAUGGUUCAAUAGUGAAAGACGGUUUUGCUGUCACUUAUAGAUGGAUCCGCGCCGCAUUAGCUAGUUGGUAAGGUAACGGCUUACCAAGGCAACGAUGCGUAGCCGACCUGAGAGGGUGAUCGGCCACACUGGAACUGAGACACGGUCCAGACUCCUACGGGAGGCAGCAGUAGGGAAUCUUCCGCAAUGGGCGAAAGCCUGACGGAGCAACGCCGCGUGAGUGAUGAAGGUCUUCGGAUCGUAAAACUCUGUUAUUAGGGAAGAACAAAUGUGUAAGUAACUAUGCACGUCUUGACGGUACCUAAUCAGAAAGCCACGGCUAACUACGUG